rnacentral:rRNA from 1 species
AGAACGAACGCUGGCGGCAUGCCUAAUACAUGCAAGUCGAACGAACACUUCGGUGUUAGUGGCGCACGGGUGCGUAACGCGUGGGAAUCUGCCCUUGGGUUCGGAAUAACAGUUGGAAACGACUGCUAAUACCGGAUGAUAUCGAAAGAUACAAAGUAUUUAUCCGACCCGAGGGAUGACGCCCGACGGUAGGAUUAGCUAGUUGGUGAAGGUAAAGCUCACCGAAGGCGACGAUCCUAGCUGGUCUGAGAGGAUGAUCACGCCACACGUGGGACUGAGACACGGCCCAG